GGCGCCUGCCCCGACUGUGCGGACCGGGAGCGGAGCGCGCGCGGCCCGGCCCCCAGCGAGCUGGCGUCGCGUUUGAUUUCAGCGCGCGGCCUGGAGCGCGCGAAAAUGAGUGUUUUAAAGCUGCUGCAAUUAUUACUUCUCAGGAAAAGAUCCCAGGUGAAGAAAUGAAGAUUGCUAACACUGUACAAGUGCGUCCUGGGCUCUGGGCUCAUGCUUAGUGCUUUAUAACAUUUUAUUGUUUCUCAAAACAACUCUAUGAGAGUCUUCCCUUGGGAAAGUGAAGCUUCCUAGAGUGAGGUGACCAGUGGCCUGUGGAAUGCUUUGCUUCUUGUGACUGUUAAUUCUGAUAUGUCAACUUCACCGGAAGAAAUGCCUAGCAGCUCCCCUGCUCUGCUUCUGGACAUUGUGAACUAAGCAGCUUUUCCAGCCUGCUGACUAUGGAUUGAAUCUCCUGAAACUAACCUGUCAAAUCUCCCCAUGGUGAUGAGCUCAGAUCCAGCAGAGUCAAGCCAAUAUUCAUUUGUUUUCAAGCAACUUUUCUCUCCUGAUCACCCGGAAAAUCCUUCCAGAAUUACCAAUAAUCAUCUCAACAAAAAGUUGAAGAGAGCCAGCAGUAAAAAGAGAAAACAAUAGCUAAAAGAAGAAUCAAGAACAAAGCAAAAGGACUUUGUGAGGAAGGAAAGAAGCUUCCAGGGCUUCAGCAGAAGAAACAAGACCAAGUGGAGCAAAUGCAGUGAAAUCAGGACAUGAGAUCUUUUCAAACUACUUGUAGAGGGUGUUCUCUUUUCCUUCAUGCAUAGGUCAGCACAAACAACACACCCUAUUUCAAGGAGGACCUCUGUUGGCUUGUUAUUGUCAUAUGUCCCUGGAGAGAGAAGGGUAUGGACAGUCAUCUUCUCCAUCUUAGGAUACAGACAGCUGUGUCUCCCAAUUUGCCUCAUCUGCUGGCUUCCAGCUAGGUUUGUUCAUGAGAGGCACUCAGGAGAGAUUGGAGAACAGUGCAGGUGCAGAGGUGGGCGACGGAGCUCCAGGUUCCUGGCUGGACUGGGCGGUGACUGGAAGCUCCAGGACUCGCAACUUGAGAUUUCAGUAGAGAGGUGUUGUGGCAUGAUGUCCCGCAACAGGAGAGCUGACUAAUACAAUAAUCCCCCAAAGUGAUUUGGAAAGUACCUUAAACUGAAAAGAUGGGAACAAUCAGCAGCUGCAGAAACACUACUUGAGUAAAACCUUAAGAAAAAUUUAAAUUUAAGUAGAGUCUCCUAAGAUAUAUCUUCCACUGACCCUUCUCCAAGGGAGUUUCUUGCUUAUGAGAAGACAACCUUGUAUCAAAAAGUCUGAUAAAUAUUCUUGGAAGCCCAACUUCACCCUGACAUUUGUUAGAUUGUAUGGGGGAUUGAACUCAGGACCUUGUGCUUGUGAGGCAGGCGUGGCACCACUGAGCGACAUUCCUGGUGCCCCAUUCUAUUUGAAUAGUGAAAACACAUACCAAGAUAAUGCCUCUGAAUAUUCCUUCUCUACCCCAGUCACAUGAUAUUCAGAUCAGAAAACACUGAUCCCUGCCUGAUAAGCUAGCCUGGUAUCUUCAUCUCCAGAUAAAGCCCAUUACAAGUGCUUUGGCCUUCAGGUCUCUACCCCUUUCCUCCGAUCAUGGAUGCUCUUGCAGCACCUACCAGCCACUGCCACCUGAAAUGAGCAAAAGAUAAACAUAUCCAUGAAUAAGAACAUCUAUAGCAAAUGCUACAAACAACAGCCAGCAUGUAGCGGCUGAGGACAACACUUAGGAACAUGGCUAAGAGUGUGGACCAUUAUCCUCUGGUGCCAAUAUUUAAGUGAUGAGACUCUUUGUCCUGAAAGACUUGCAGGAGAAGGGCAGAGCAUCCUGGUUUCUUGCCAAAGGAGGAUUCAGAAUUGGUCUCAUCUUACAGGGGCACCAGUGACUAGAUUGAGGAACUGUCAAAACUGAGGAGAAGACCCCAAGCUGGAGGCCUGUCCCUGGUAUGGUACCACUGCAGUAGACCAGAGUGGAAGAGGAGGGUCCAGGAGUUCAGAGCACAUCAGGGACCCAGAGACAAUUGGGGACUCUAUGUAAUCUUGGAUUGUUCUGCAAAAGAAGCCUCAUUGGAGGCCAAUGGCCUGGGUGCCAGGCCGGGAGGAAAGCCUUCAUUUCCAGCUCACCCGGGAGAGGCAGAAGAUAGGAGGUGCUGUGGAGCAGCUGAGGCAUCUGGAGUCUGGAAGUGAUCUGGAAGCACAUACUGUACAGCUAUAGAGCUGAUAUGUUACUGUUGGCAUCAUUAUUCAUGGAGGGAGCUGGAGCAGUGAACUCGCUAGUGCAUUUGAAUCACUCAGAAGAAGAGAGAAAACUCCAAAGGAUUCCAGAGUUAAAAGGAUGUGAAGGAGUGGCUCUCUACUGUAUAAGAAACCACUGAAAAGCAAAGACAGCUAUGGUCCAGAGCGAGAAAGACAGAGCUGAAGAGAAGCACUUACAUCAGCCUGGAGGCUGAGUUGUGUCCUCAGACCUUAUUCAGACCAAACUGUCAGUGCGGGAACAACCCACUGCUUUUAUUUAAAGGUUGUAAAUUUUACUAUAUUUAAAAUAAUCAUCCUAGAUAAGUGAAGAGUUGAUAAAUGAGCUCAAUCUGUAUAGGGCCUUGUAAGAGCAAAGCUGCAUAUAAUUGCACGAUUGCCCUGGGGGUUGCGCUUUACUCUGCAGAGUGGAAAAGGCAAUGCCUUGUGAAAUGGGAACCCAGGGCUCUUGUGGUUAAGCAAAAGGAACAAUUUCAUCCCACCCUUGGCUCCCUUUGCUUUGUCAUAGGGCUGCCAGAGAAACUCCUGAAAGAGAAGCUCAGUGUUCUCCACUCUAAUUGAAUGAGUCCAGCCAUCACCUUUGGAGAUGCGCAGGACACCAGAAGGAUGACAUCCAAGCCUUGACACCAGGCUUGACACCAGGUCUCCUCCAACAUAGCUCAUUUCAAAUGCAGGUAUUGCAUCCUACCGACUCCCAAGGACUCUGGACACCAAAGGAACCAAUACCAUGACAAAGUGACCAGCUUGGAUCCAAACCCUGGGAAGCACCUGGAACCCUGCACACAUGUGACCUACAUAAGGAGCCACUGGAUGGCACUGUGGGUCCAUGCAAAUGUGUAUGGACGGACAUUUAUCUUUCCUUUGAAAAGACUGUUUAGCUUUGACAGGUAAUUUGGCACAUUUUGAGUUGAAAUGUGCCAAAUGAUUUGGCAAAUAUUUCACUUACCUCUGAAAAUAGGCACACCUGCUGUUGUGGCCUGUAGGGAGAUGGAGAGUAGCUUUUACCCUAGCCUCCUUGUGAUUGUUAAUUUCAGAAGUGAAAAUAAGAUUUUGGUCAAGGAUACAUAGGCCAACCUUAUAUUUUAAAGAGACAGUGAAAGUUUAGUGUCUCUCAUGGAACCAACUCCCCCCUCCAGAGAGAGCAUCUUUUUGUCUCCCCAGUGCCAUCUGUCUGCAGUAGCUGGCUUGUCUGGUUUAUGACCAGAUGGAACGGAAU
ensembl:lncRNA